GGAGACAGAAAGAUCUGGAGAAGGCUUGGGAUAAAAUCAUGGAAGUUUGGAGGAGCUGAGUCAUGAAAAGAAACUGUGCUGUUUUUGGAUCACUUUGUGACAAGUGGGUUAGAGAAAAAUCUGCAGUCAACAAUUCAGUGAAACAUUCUAAGUUGGUAGAGAUGUUACACUCCUGCACAUUCCCUGAUGCUCGUUUUUGGCAUUUCUUUCACCGAAGACACUGGAUAGGAGAAGGAAGGGAGGAGAGUAAACAGGACAGGACAGAAGAGAAGAGAGAUGAUUGCUGAUUUGACUACUUGGGGAUCUAGUUUGUGAAGUUUCUCAGGGGAUCUGAGGACCACAGAGUUUGGAAACCACAGGUAUGGAUAGAGGAAAAGUAUGCAGAAAAGCCAAAGAAUUGAUGCUUUUGAACUGUGGUGUUGGAGAAGACUCUUGAGAGUCCCUUGGACUGCAAGGAG